rnacentral:tRNA from 1 species
GUUAGUAUAGUUUAAUUGGUUAAAACGAUAAUCUAAUAAGAUAAUAAAAGUAAGUUCGAGUCUUACUAUUAAUA